UUACGACACCGUAUCGCGCCGUUUUGUUGUAACGGAAACCGGCCGGGGACGCGUUAUCGAAAGAAAUGUACCGAGUACUGUUACUCGGUGUCGAAUCGAAUUGAAAUGCCGAUACGAGUAAAAUGUCGAAACAAAAGCACCGAUACGAGAGUAAGUACAUGAAAUAUUAUUGGACUCGUGCUUUUAUUGCGAUUGUCAGUGUUGGGUGUAAGUAUCUCACGAAUCCGCACACUCGGC